rnacentral:rRNA from 1 species
GAUGAAGGCUUUCGGGUCGUAAAGUUCUGUUGUAAGGGAAGAACAAGUGCCGCAGGCAAUGGCGGCACCUUGACGGUACCUUGCGAGAAAGCCACGGCUAACUACGUGCCAGCAGCCGCGGUAAUACGUAGGUGGCAAGCGUUGUCCGGAAUUAUUGGGCGUAAAGCGCGCGCAGGCGGCCUCUUAAGUCUGAUGUGAAAGCCCCCGGCUCAACCGGGGAGGGCCAUUGGAAACUGGGAGGCUUGAGUAUAGGAGAGAAGAGUGGAAUUCCACGUGUAGCGGUGAAAUGCGUAGAGAUGUGGAGGAACACCAGUGGCGAAGGCGACUCUUUGGCCUAUAACUGACGCUGAGGCGCGAAAGCGUGGGGAGCAAACAGGAUUAGAUACCCCAGUAGUC